rnacentral:rRNA from 1 species
AUGGAGCCAUUGCUAGGGGGCGACGAGAUCAACGCCACCCACCACGACCACCGAGUUGUACAAGCUGGCGAAGAUGUCAGUGGUGGAAGCGGACAUGUUAUAGAAGAUGUUGAGGGUGGCACCGGAGGUAAUGACCAAAUGGGGUUCCUCGGCACCGAAGAGAAGGAUGCUGCAGCGACACCGACACAUACUGGGCUCCAUUUCCAACCAGAGAGAACUUAUGAACGCUGA